rnacentral:rRNA from 1 species
AUCUACGGCAAUGUCACCCUGAACGUGCCCGAUCUCGUCUGGUCUCGGAAGCUAAGCAAGGUUGGGCCUGGUUAGUACUUGAAAGGGAGAUCACCUAGGAAGACCAGGUGCUGUAAGUG